AAGGGGAAUAUGAGGAGGAAGUAGAGCGCCACGUCCACUACGACAAGAAACUCAGCAACUCCGAGCUGCCGGUUGAUGUCAACGAUUGGUCACGACUUGAGUAUGGAAAGUACCUGCACAACUACGUGACUCUGCCGCGGAAGUUCUCCAAGAAGCACAGGAAGCAAAGACCAGCACUACCGCAAGUUGACGGGCCGGACAACUCCGCUGAUCCGCUAGCGGGUGCAGAGCAGCUAACGGGCAGCGAGGCGAGGACGUGCGGAACUAUUUGUCUGCCCGACAACGGCGAAUUGCAGCUUGAUGAGCCGUAUCAGGUUCGGUAUGACGAGAACGGCGAUCCUCUUCCGGAACGCGAAGACGAACAGAACGCGUCUGGAGAGCUGGAGGAGGGCACGCUGCCGCCUCUGAGUCGGAGUGGACCGAGGAGAAAGUCCAUGUCCUAGCGAGGCCAUACCAGUCUUAAUGCUAGAAACUCCGAGUUCUUCAUCCAGCUGAAGGAGAUAAAGA